UACAGGGGGUGCAAGCGUUGCUCGGAAUCAUUGGGCGUAAAGCGCGCGUAGGCGGUUCGUUAUGUCGGAUGUGAAAGCCCUUGGCUUAACCGAGGAAGUGCAUCCGAAACUGGCGAGCUAGAGUACGAAAGAGGAUCGCGGAAUUCCCGGUGUAGAGGUGAAAUUCGUAGAUAUCGGGAGGAACACCGGUGGCGAAGGCGGCGAUCUGGGUCGAUACUGACGCUGAGGUGCGAAAGCGUGGGGAGCAAACAGG
rnacentral:rRNA from 1 species